GUGCUGAUGGCUCCUGAGCACAGCUCUCCUUCAGCCGGGGCGGGGCUCUGCACGGAGCUGGAGUGCUGCUGGAAUACAAGUGCCAGGUGCAACAGAUGUAAUUCAAAGGGGAAAAACCCAGGAAUAUUUCCACUGACAGAAUGUUGUCUUUGCACACCUUGGCCUGUGGGUUGGAGCUGGCAGAACUGCAUUUCAUCCUGCAGCUGGUGUUCUAACAGCUGGAAGCCAUCUCUGCAUUUCCAGGUCAGAAUAAAUGGAGCAACAGCAGCUGGCUGUGGGAGACUGCUGGGACUGCCCCUGGUUCUGUGUGCACCUGGAGCAGCAGUGCCCCCAGGAAUCAGCAGCAGGGACAAGCCCACGAGAGCAGAGCCCCUGGAGUGGCAUCAGCUGCAAGCAGUGUGAGCUGAGAGCUCCAGAUUGUUGAUUUGCUGCUGGACAGACAAGGAGAGGGGCAAUGUGCAUUUCCUGGGAACACUGUGAAAUAAAACUCAGGAAUCACUGCUCCAGCAGGCUGGAUGUGGAUGUUGGACUCUCAGAGCCAGUGGCACUGCCCAGGCCCAUUUUGGACUUUUUGAGAUCAAGCAGAAGCUGCAAUCAUCCUGCCCAGAUUUCAGUGCAGGUUCAUUGUGGGCAUUAAACAAUUUCUACAAGUAUCACAAGUGGAAAAGUGAUAUCAGAGUAGACGGAUUAUUUAUCUCAUUGGAUGUGAUGUGACAGAAGAGUCUGGAUUGGUGAGGACUAAAAUACAGCAACCUGGGGAAAAGGACCAUGAGGUUGAGGAGGGGAUCCAUGGGUUACUGGAAUAAUAAAUCAGGUCACUCCAGAUGCCCACUAGAGCUGAUGAUCUGCUUCUGUGUAACCACUGCAGCCAGCAAGAGGAAACAGAGUUCACUCAGCAUGCCCAGUUCUGGAACACUCAGAAGAGGAAAUACUCUGGAGGAUUCCUACAGAAACCAAAGCCAAAGAGCAGCCCUGAUUGGGAACCCCCUCUGCUCAACUAUUUUGUUACAAGUGGCCCAAAGAAGAAUGAUUUUUAUUUUUCAAUUCUUGUUGCAGCAGCAGCUCUGGGCUAAGCAAUUGUUAUGGUGUGCUCAGGGCACCAAACCAAAAAAUCUGAGACAGAGGGCCCAGAUGCAGAAUUCCCUGCGAUAACCUAAAGCAAAUGCCACUGGAUGCAGCUCCCUCAAGAUCUCCCUGCUCACAGCCUCGCUGGUGGCCAGCAUCCAGACUGAGCAUUAGCAAAACCAACAAACCAAACAGUUCCCACAGCAGGGACGACUUCUAUAUGGUUCUGUACCUGGAUGGCCUUGCAGCGCCACCUUCUCUAGGAUUGUCAGUGGAAUCCAGCACAUUGGUACAGCUCUUCCAUUCCACCUCUUGGAUAACACUGCUGAAAUCCACCAGAAGGAGCCUUUGUGCAUCAAUUUUGCUUGAGCCUUGAGGAAUGUAUUAACAGGAAACUCCUGCUCCUGCCUCCAGGGAAGAAGAGGAGCUGGGAUUUCUCCUUUGAGAGAUGUGGGGCUCAUGUUUGAAGAAGAAAAAGCCAGUGCUGUUUCCCCCCCCCCGACAAGCACAAGCAUGGAGAACAGAGAUGCUGCUGGUGUCUCUGGAGAGCUCUGCCAGCCCUGCCUGCCCUGCAGAGGAGCCAGAGUCUGGUUGGAUGGUUUGAAUCUCUGCCAUCAUUUGGAGCAGAAUGAAGCUCUGUAAAGGACAGUGCCUGGAUGCCAGCGGGGCUGUCAUUAGCUCGGGCAGCCCAGGAAGCAGCUGAUGUGCAGUUUGUGGUGGAAGUCAUGCAGACACAAGGGGUGACAGGGGGUGGAGAGGCCCCAGCCCCUGGCUGCAGCCUGGCCCCAACGGUGUGUUCCAGGCUGUUUGGAUGGACCAGGCACAGCUUCACAAGACACAAAGGCUCCAUGGACCAUCCAUUUGAUGUCAGUUUUUCAGUGAUGUUGGGUGCCUCUGGCCCAGCUCCAUCUUUCUUCCACAGUAAUCAAAGGAAAUGCACCCUAGUCUUGGAGUCUGGUGGUUCAGGACUGAAAGCUUAAUGGCUUUCCUUGGCUUUUUUUCCCCCACUCUCUCUUUUAUGAAGCAUAGGGUGUUUAGAACUAUGGAAGCAGUGCAAGAAAAAUAUUAAUGAAUAACUAUGGAGUGCAGACAUUAAUGCAUUCCUUUCUCUUGAAAUAACUGGCUUUUCUCGGUGGGGUCUGUAACAAAAAAAGUGUCUGCAGAGUCUGAACCUGCUGUAUAGAAGCCAAAGUAGAUGAUGAUGAUUUAGAACUUCA